GACGAACGCUGGCGGCGUGCUUAACACAUGCAAGUCGAGCGGUAAGGCCCUUUCGGGGGUACACGAGCGGCGAACGGGUGAGUAACACGUGGGUGACCUGCCCUCAGCUCUGGGAUAAGCCUGGGAAACCGGGUCUAAUACCGGAUAUGACUCCAUGACGCAUGUUGUGGGGUGGAAAGCCUUGUGCGGCUGAGGAUGGGCCCGCGGCCUAUCAGCUUGUUGGUGGGGUGAUGGCCUACCAAGGCGACGACGGGUAGCCGGCCUGAGAGGGCGACCGGCCACACUGGGACUGAGACACGGCCCAGACUCCUACGGAGGCAGCAGUGGGGAAUCUUGCGCAAUGGGCGAAAGCCUG
rnacentral:rRNA from 1 species